rnacentral:tRNA from 1 species
GCCCCUCGCUUACACCGAAGAAAUAUCCGUGAAACUCGGAUCAUUUUGA